UAGCGGAGGGUGCGAGCGUUGUCCGGAAUCACUGGGCGUAAAGGGCGCGUAGGCGGCCUGAUAAGUAGGGGGUGAAAUCCUGCGGCUUAACCGCAGGGCUGCCUUCUAAACUGUCAGGCUAGAGCACAGUAGAGGCAGGUGGAAUUCCCGGUGUAGCGGUGGAAUGCGUAGAGAUCGGAAGAACAUCAGUGGCGAAGGCGGCCUGCUGGGCUGGUUGCUGACGCUGAGGCGCGGACAGCGUGGGGAGCAAACAGG
rnacentral:rRNA from 1 species